rnacentral:rRNA from 1 species
AGAGUUGAUCAUGGCUCAGGACGAACGCUGGCGGCGUGCUUAACACAUGCAAGUUGAACGGUAUGACAUGGAAGCUUGCUGAAGUGUCAUAUAGUAGCGGACGGGUGAGUAAUGCAUGAGAAGCUGCCAUUGGGAGGGGGACAACAGUUGGAAACGGCUGCUAAUACCCCGUAUGCCGGAGGGUGAAAGGGAGUAAUCCGCCCGAUGAGGUGCUCAUGUCCUAUCAGCUGGUUGGUGGGGUAACGGCCUACCAAGGCGACGACGGGUAGCCGGCCUGAGAGGGUGAACGGCCACACUGGAACUGAGAUACGGUCCAGACUCCUACGGGAGGCAGCAGUGGGGAAUAUUGGGCAAAUGGGGGCAACCCUGACCCAGCGACGCCGCGUGGGGGAAGACGGCCUUCGGGUUGUAAACCUCUUUUGUACGGGAAGAAGGAAGUGACGGUACUGUACGAAUAAGUCCCGGCUAACUACGUGCCAGCAGCGGC